rnacentral:rRNA from 1 species
GAUGAACGCUGGCGGCGUGCCUAAUACAUGCAAGUCGAGCGAACAGACGAGGAGCUUGCUCCUCUGACGUUAGCGGCGGACGGGUGAGUAACACGUGGAUAACCUACCUAUAAGACUGGGAUAACUUCGGGAAACCGGAGCUAAUACCGGAUAAUAUAUUGAACCGCAUGGUUCAAUAGUGAAAGACGGUUUUGCUGUCACUUAUAGAUGGAUCCGCGCCGCAUUAGCUAGUUGGUAAGGUAACGGCUUACCAAGGCAACGAUGCGUAGCCGACCUGAGAGGGUGAUCGGCCACACUGGAACUGAGACACGGUCCAGACUCCUACGGGAGGCAGCAAUAGGGAAUCUUCCGCAAUGGGCGGAAGCCUGACGGGGCAACGCCGCGUGAGUGAUGAAGGUCUUCGGAUCGUAAAACUCUGUUAUUAGGGAAGAACAAAUGUGUAAGUAACUAUGCACGUCUUGGCGGUACCUAAUCAGAAAACCACGGCUAACUACGUG